ensembl:lncRNA
GCAGUAUUGCAUGUUUCAUAUGCAGAAGUUAAUAGAAGUCUGUCAAAGCGGAGCCCGAAGUGGCACAAUUAUAAGUGACACUUUGGCUAAAAAUAAGUCCGACCAAAAAGGUUGGAGUGAUCUUUUUUUUUUUUUUUUUUUACCAAAUGUUACUUUCUGUGUGGUGGGAUUCAAAUGUAUUUAAAUUCAUUUGUGCUGAUGCAGCGUCCCACACUUGAAUACUUUCUAGGAACCAAUAAAAUUGGCUUAAAAAAAAAAAAAGAACUGCAGGAUUGGGCAAUCGUGGAAAUCACAAAAUAUUCUUGAUUCUUGUGUUCACGCUUUUAUUUCAGGACAUUAAGCUGAUAUUUAACAAUACACUAAAUCACAAACUGUGAAGUUCACGUGCAGCUGCUUUUUUUUUCUUCCCUUUGAUGCCUUGAUUGGAGGCAUGUCUACUCAGAUCUUUCAAGCAAUGAAUGUAACCAUUUGCUGUGAAAUGUGUCCAGAAGUGUAUUACGUUGAGGUUACCAAUCUGUGUCGGAUCUGCAUAGCUGUUCUCUAACGUGCCCUUAUUUGGAGUUGGAUUGUGUAUUCUUUGAAAUUGGUGUAAGAAAGGCUAAAUUUAAGCAGUCCACACCAUCUGAGGAUUUUUUUUUUUUUUGAAAGUCAUUGUAAUUGUUUCUUUUGUGUAAAUUAAUCUGCACAGACUUCAUGUACCGAUUUGCCCAAAGUUACUUUCAUACUUAAGUAUUUUGUCCUUUCGCUAACAUUCCUCUGACUGCAUGUGUUAUGUCACAUCUGUUGAGACAAGUCUGGCUUGGAAACGUCAUCAGCCAGCGUUGCUGAAUGUGAAUAAAAUGAGUUUAGUUCGUCUUUGGCCACUAGGGGGCAGUGAAUAAAACUUUUAUGGUGGUUCCCUUUUGUUCUGCUGUAAUGACAACUUUGUGUACUUAACACUAUUUUCUCAUCAACGGCAACAAAGAAAGGAUUGUAUAUCAAUAAAAUGUGAACAGUCGAAGAACUUGGAUCAGUCUGACUUUUUACAGGAAAUAUGUUUGUGCAAGUCUUUUUGCAGCAGC